GUUGAGGACAGAUUGAAUGAGCCUGAGGAUGACCAACAGAGUCUCCGGGAUAAGAUGCAAUAUUAUGCAUUGCGACUAGAUUCACCUACAAGAAAGCUCACUUCUACUGUGAGGAAGAUCCAACAGCAAGCAGAUAAGGUGAGCAGACACAAGGGUACCAUAAUUGUGGAGGACAAUUCUGGAGAUUCAUUUUGUCAUCUAGCUAAAUAUCUAUUGUCACACAAGCUUCAUACCCGUCUCAAUAGUAAGUAACUAAAAUCCAAUAAUCAAACUCACUUGUAGGCAUCCUAUUAACUAUCUGUGCAUAGCCAACUAACAAAGCCAGGUUUCAGUUUCAUGUCACAUUCACUGAUGUAAAGGUCAUUUAUUUCUCCAUAUAAAGAGUGCUUUUGAAAAUAUAGAUUUAAUAAGAGCCAAAAUCACCGGGACACUGACACAACUUUUUCCCACCUCCUCUUUGAGUUGCCUACCUGAUUAGGUGUUUAGAUGGUUUAUAGCAUGAAAUCAAAAGAGAAAUAGGUGUGGGGAGCAGGAGGUCACUUUCCCACAGACCUUCUAUGUGAGAAAUGAAGCACAAAAAAGUCCAGAUCAUCAGUUUUCCAACAAAAUUCACUCCAAUGUUCUUUGCAAGCAUUUGUUAAAAGGGUCAAAGGGAUUGAUGACAACAAACUAAGACAUCACAAAAUGAAGUGUGGGUCUAUGACCCAAGGGAAUAAGUGUGAGCAUUUUAGGUGACAGGUAAUUCCUAAUAUCUGGGGCUUUGUUCUUCAAUGAUGAGAGGGUGAAAGACAGAUUAAAUGAGCUUGAAGAUGAAAAUCAGACUCCAGGAUAAAAUACAAUAUUAUUUAUCCAUUGCAGCAAGAUUCACCAACAAGAAAAAUCUGUACUUCUGAGAAGAUGCAACAGCAAGCAGAAAAUGUUGAGAACAAAUCAAAUGAGCCUGAGGAUGACCAACAGAGUCUCCAGGAUAAGAUGCAAUAUUAUGCGUUGCGACUGGAUUCGCCUACAAAAAAGCUCACUUCUGCUGUAAGGAAGAUCCAACAGCAAGCAGAUAAGGUAAAGGACAGACUGAAGGAAGCCGAGAAUGAGAAACAGAGUCUCCAGGAUAAGGUGCAAUAUUAUUUUUUACAACUGGAUUCACCUACAAGACAACUCAGUUCUACUGUGUGGAAGAUCCAGCAACAGGGAGAUGUGAGCAGUCCCAAGAGCAUAAGAAUGGAUUUACCUACAAGAAAGCACAGUUGUGCUACGAUGAAGAUCCAACAGCAACCAGAGAAGAUGACAGAAAAAUUGAAUGAACCUGAGGAUGAGAAACCAAGUCUCGACAAAAAGAAGCAAUACUAUCUUUCGCAAGGGGACUCGCCUACAAGAAAGCUCCAUACACCUGAGAAGAUGAUACCACAGCAGGCAGAAAAGGACUCACCUAUAAGAAAACUCUAUACACCUGAGAAGAAGAUGCAACAGCAGGCAGAAAAGGAUUCAUCUACAAGAAAGAUCUCUUCGCCUAAGAAGAUGCAACAGCAGGCAGAAAAAGUGAGCAGACACAAGGGCACCAUAAUGGUGGAGAAAGAGAACAGCUCUGGACAGUCAUUCUGUAAUCUAGCCACUCAUCCUUUGUCACACAGUUAUCACUCUGUAAUCUAG
rnacentral:lncRNA from 1 species